rnacentral:other from 1 species
CUUGCUGCGUUGUUCGUUUGUAUAUGAAGUUUCAACCUUUACGUUAAUUUAGGGAGCUUAAGAUCAUAAUUGAAAUAACAUGCCUACAUUGUUUAGGACGUUAGGAAAAUUAUUGCAAGCACCCACCUGGUGGAGCAGGUAUGAAACUCCAUAUAAAUCGGCGGCAACAGCGGCUA